rnacentral:rRNA from 1 species
AACGAACGCUGGCGGCAUGCCUAACACAUGCAAGUCGAACGAGACCUUCGGGUCUAGUGGCGCACGGGUGCGUAACGCGUCGGAACCUGCCCUUAGGUUCGGAAUAACUCCCCGAAAGGGGUGCUAAUACCGGAUAAUGUCUUCGAACCAAAGAUUUAUCGCCUUUGGAGGGGCCCGCGUUGGAUUAGCUAUGUGGUAGGGUAAAAGCCUACCAAGGCGACGAUCCAUAGCUGGUCUGAGAGGCUGAUCAGCCACACUGAGACUGAGACACGGCGCAGACUCCUACGGGAGGCAGCAGUGGGGAAUAUUGGACAAUGGGCGAAAGCCUGAUGCAGCAAUGCCGCGUGAGUGAUGAAGGCCUUAGAGUUGUAAAGCUCUUUUACCCGGGAUGAUAAUGACAGUACCGAGAGAAUAAGCUCCGGCUAACUCCGUG